UACGUAGGGGGCAAGCGUUGUCCGGAUUUAUUGGGCGUAAAGAGCGUGUAGGCGGCUAGAUAGGUCCGUUGUGAAAACUCGAGGCUCAACCUCGAGACGCCGAUGGAAACCGUCUGGCUAGAGUCCGGAAGAGGAGAGUGGAAUUCCUGGUGUAGCGGUGAAAUGCGCAGAUAUCAGGAAGAACACCCGUGGCUAAGGCGGCUCUCUAGUACGGUACUGACGCUGAGACGCGAAAGCGUGGGGAGCGAACAGG
rnacentral:rRNA from 1 species